CAGUUUCCCUUGCGGGCGCCUACGAUCAUACUUCAAAAUCCAUCCAUCGGCGACCUUAACGUCAAACCUGUUGCAAUUCUCGAUAGGUAAGGCCAUCUGGAUAGUAACAUUACUGUUUAGAAAGUUAUUAGUACUGCCCGUGUCGAUGAGAACAGUGAUCGGUUGUUGUUUGAGAAGGCCUCCAACUUUCAUCGUUUGCGGGUUUGAGUAGCCGGCUAGUGCAUGUACCGUAACUUCGGUCGGUUGUGACUCUUCUUCUGCAUCUUCUUCUUCAUGUUCAAGGCUCUCUUCU
rnacentral:lncRNA from 1 species